GCGUUGGUGGUCCAAGGCGAAGACGCCCCGCUUCCCGCGGGGAGAUGCAGGUGCGAGCCCUGCCCGACGCUC
rnacentral:tRNA from 1 species